AUACAUUCUAGUGAGGAACUAAAUAUACCCAUUCUGAGUACCUUGCCUGUUGCUUCCAUGGAACCUGACACAUGUCACUCUGGGGAUUUACAUCCCGAGGGAGCCUCCGUGGAAGGUAAUCAAUUAACUCUUGAAUCCAAUGUCAUCUGUCUGAUAAUGUUUAUAACAAAUGUUAAAACUUUCAACAACGGAUCUCUUGGUUCUCGCAUCGAUGAAGAACGCAGCGAAAUGCGAUAAGUAGUGUGAAUUGCAGAAUUCAGUGAAUCAUCGAAUCUUUGAACGCACAUUGCGCCUCCUGGUAUUCCGGGAGGCAUGCCUGUUCGAGCGUCAUUAAAUACCACUCAAGCUCUUCUGCUUGGUCAUGGAAGAAGAGAAUGCUUGCAUCCUCUCUUCUGAAAUCGAACGGCGGACUGCCUCAUGUGCCUCGCGUAGUAAGUUCAUCUUUUCGCCUGGAGUGUGAGAUAGUCUCGCCAUCAACCCCCAUACUUCUAAGGUUGACCUCGGAUCAGGUAGGGAUACCCGCUGUACUUAAGCAUAUCAA
rnacentral:rRNA from 1 species